GGAGGGAAAGAGCGGAGGAGACAAGGCAAUAUUUUACAAAAGAAUUCUAUAAUUGGAUUCUUAAUCUUGUUUACGGUGAAGAGAUCAAGUGGUCUUUGUCAGGGUCGCGUAUACACGAUGUGCGUGCGUGUGCCAAGGGACACAUUCCUGCACGGGUGGCGUCAACCGAAAUAGAUUUGCCAUAAUAGACACUCGAGCGCACUCGUUCCGUUUCUGGGACAUCGGGAGGGAAAAACGGGCUUGAUGAGGCCGUAUCUCAGCCUCUGCCACCUUUAUUCGCCCUUUCGAGCUUUCGUUGAAAGUAAUUGCUCGUGUGAAUCGUUGAAAUAUCUCCGGGUAUAUUUUAAACUGGCCGAUGGAAUGUCUUCGAGAAUUCGCGAGAAUGGCACAGGAUGGAUACAGAAAACGUUUACAAGUACUCGAGAUAUUUAACCAAUCUGUAAAUUAAAUGAUUUAAAAUCCAACAGCUGUCUCUGUAUGGAAUAGUAUAGAUCGUGCGAAGCUAUAAUGCGUGGGAAUAUCAAAAUUUGUCUUGAACGCGCCAUUAGAGCCUUUCGAACGAUGUGACCGUUACUUCGAAUUCCAACCGGAGUUUCGACCAAACUGGGGAUAUUACCGUAAUUAACGCAUCGAUGUUCACUUAGGGACCCCUAGUAAACAGUCAGUUGUGUUCACAUGGGAACUUCACACUCGAACGUAUUCCUUCCACAACUUUCAAUAAUAGAAAGACUUCAGAUUUUAUCCAAAUUUAUCUUUUCCAGAAUUUUUACGGAGAGUAAAAUUGAUUUUAAAGUUAAUAUAAAUGAUUCGAAACAGUAGAAAUUAAUAAACAAAGUUUUUUUGAAUUUUUGAGUCGUCCUGUAUACCGAUAAUGCCAUAUCACACCAAGUCAUUUGAGUUUACUUCACAAUACUUUUUUUUAUCUUCAACUAUUUCAAAACUGUAAUUCUAUUCUACAGUUGCGUGGCACAAAUCUGAUAUAACCUAUGUAUAACCCUUUAGCUACGGUAGAAUUGGCUACUGGUAGGCUAUCGUGGAACGAGAUUCCGUGUCAUAACCUAUUAUGUUUAAUAAAAAAAAAA